AUACGUAGGGGGCGAGCGUUGUCCGGAAUGAUUGGGCGUAAAGGGCGCGUAGGCGGCGCGGUAAGUCUGGAGUGAAAGUCCUGCUUUCAAGGUGGGAAUUGCUUUGGAUACUGCCGCGCUUGAGUGCAGGAGAGGUUAUCGGAAUUCCCGGUGUAGCGGUGAAAUGCGUAGAGAUCGGGAGGAACACCAGUGGCGAAGGCGGGUAACUGGACUGCAACUGACGCUGAGGCGCGAAAGUGUGGGUAGCAAACAGGAUUAGAUACCCUGGUAGUCCACACUGUAAACGAUGAAUGCUAGGUGUUAGAGGUAUCGACCCCUUUUGUGCCGGAGUCAACACAAUAAGCAUUCCGCCUGGGGAGUACGGCCGCAAGGUUGAAACUCAAAUGAAUUGACGGGG
rnacentral:rRNA from 1 species